AAACAAGGACUCCCGCAGUAGUGGCGAAUGCACAUGGGCGAGCUCAGAUUGGAAAUCUGGGCGCAAAGUCCUGAUUUGUAGUCUUGCAAUGUGCCACUAGAGGAGAUGCAGCUACAGGCUCCUGGAAAAGAGCAUCUAUGAGGGUGAAAACCCUGUGUGCUGGCUGCAGCACUCCGCCACACGGUGCAUAUAUUUUUUGCGAGUAGUGUACCUUGGCACAGGUGCAUAAAGUGGUGGUAGUUUUCAUCCAAAGCUCAAAAAGUGUUUGAGACCAACAGUGGACAAGUACCUUGAGGGAAAGGUGAAACAGGACUUUGGAAAGAGAGGUAAAUAUGCUUGAAGGUGCUGAAUUUGAAGUGAGGGGUGACAGUGUAACCUGGUCGGAUUUCUGUGUGUUAAAGCGCUUGCCUGCUGUUUUAUACGCUCGUGUAGCAGCAGGUCAUGAAGAAAAUGCACAAAGUGAACCUGGCCCUAUCAAUCAAUUUCCAUACGUUGCUCGAGGAAAGUGGCUGGAAUCUGGUUGACCAAACCCCGGUGGAAAUUGGCCCUUGUGUCCUUUGCGUAUGUACAUUUUGGCGACUACAC
rnacentral:rRNA from 1 species